GUGGGGAAUAUUGGACAAUGGGCGCAAGCCUGAUCCAGCCAUGCCGCGUGAGUGAUGAAGGCCUUAGGGUUGUAAAGCUCUUUCAGUGGGGACGAUAAUGACGGUACCCACAGAAGAAGCCCCGGCUAACUUCGUGCCAGCAGCCGCGGUAAUACGAAGGGGGCUAGCGUUGUUCGGAUUUACUGGGCGUAAAGCGCACGUAGGCGGGUCGUUAAGUCGGGGGUGAAAUCCUGGAGCUCAACUCCAGAACUGCCUUCGAUACUGGCGACCUAGAGUCCGGAAGAGGUGAGUGGAACUCCUAGUGUAGAGGUGGAAUUCGUAGAUAUUAGGAAGAACACCAGUGGCGAAGGCGGCUCACUGGUCCGGUACUGACGCUGAGGUGCGAAAGCGUGGGGAGCAAACAGGAUUAGAUACCCGUGUAGUCC
rnacentral:rRNA from 1 species